rnacentral:rRNA from 1 species
UACGUAGGGUGCAAGCGUUGUCCGGAAUUAUUGGGCGUAAAGAGCUCGUAGGCGGCUUGUCACGUCUGCUGUGAAAACUCGGGGCUCAACCCCGAGCCUGCAGUGGAUACGGGCUAGCUAGAGUGCGGUAGGGGAGACUGGAAUUCCUGGUGUAGCGGUGAAAUGCGUAGAUAUCCGGAGGAACACCGGUGGCGAAGGCGGCUUCCUGGACCGACACUGACGCUGAGGCGCGAAAGCUAGGGGAGCAAACGGG